AAAUAAAAAAGAAUAAUGUGUAUAAAGAGUGUAUCAAGAUAUAGAAGUUGUUGGGUGGGAGAAGUGGAAGCUGAAAAGCAAAGUGGUUUGUUGUUAUAUAUGCAAUCUGAGAGAGAACUUGAAGAGAAGGAGAGUAAAGUUAAAAGGCAAAGCAAAUCCAAUUUAUCAAUCCUGGCUUGGGAUAAUGAUAUAUGGAAACGGCUUUUCCCGGCACGAAGAAGCUAUAAGCGGCUUUCUCCAUUCCCUUAUUCAGCAAAAAUGAGAAACAUAAACUUAUUUAAACUCUGUUCGGCUCUCAGAGUUAUUGGAUACUUUAUGAUCCUUUUAUUCGCUGCUAUUGUUUUCCUCACUUACUACGCCGUCGUUUUCGUUACAUGGGGUCCUCUCUUGUUCCAUUCCCCAUUCCGAUUCUCAUCUUCCUCCUUCUUCGCUUUCUUUAUUCUCCUCCUCUUUCACACUCUCCUUGUGCUACUAACGUGGUCUUACUUUAUGGUGGUAGUCAACGAUCCUGGUUCUGUUCCUUCAAAUUGGAGACCAAAUCAACAACUUCUAGAAGUAGAGGUUCAAGACCAUAAUUUACAUGUUCCUGUUGCGCCUUCUAAUGGAAUUGAGCUUCAAUCGGAUGCCAGAACAACCACACCCUCCGCUGGAUACUGUACUCGAUGCCAAAACGGCAAGCCGCCGCGUUGUCAUCACUGCUCUAUUUGUCAAAGGUGUGUUCUUAAAAUGGAUCAUCAUUGUAUUUGGGUCGUCAAUUGUGUUGGGGCACGAAACUACAAGUAUUUUCUCCUCUUCUUGCUGUAUACAUUCCUUGAGACAACACUGGAUUGCUUAGCUCUGAUCCCUAGUUUUAUCAGAUUCUUUGGUGGAACCAAGUAUAGGCACCCAUUGACUCCUGGGGGCUUUGCUGCCAUUUUCUUGGCUUCUAAUUGUGUGGCUUGAUGCAGUUCUCAAUUUAGCCUUUGCGCUGAGUCUUCUCUGUUUCGUAGUUAUGCAUUUAUCUCUUCUGUUAAGCAACACAACUUCAGUUGAGGUUCAUGAAAAGAAAAAAGGGGUCAGGUGGAGGUAUGACUUGGGAAGGAAGAAGAAUUUUGAGCAGGUAUUUGGCACAAAGAAGGCCCUAUGGCUGUUCCCAUUGUUUUCAGAAGAGGAUUUAGACAACAUACCUGCACUAAGGGGCAUUGAGUUCCCAACACGUUCAGAUGUUGAUGUAUGAAGAUCUGGGAGCUUGUGAGUUAUAGGUUUGAACUUUGAUUUUUAUUAGAAAAGAUAUGUCAUUUUCAUCUUACUUCAUAUGGUUCGGCAUAGGACAUGGAAAUGUUGCAUUGUGCUUGGUCAUAUAUAUAUGUCUAAAAUGAAAGAAUGGUCUAGUAGAUUUAUGUAUGUAUGUAAUCUUAAUUCUUAUUAUAUUCAAUUUGUAGUUGUAUUGAUUAUUGUUGUUCUCAGUUUUAAGAAUCUGCCAUCUGAAGGAGAUACAAUGUAGAUUUGCUUUCGUAUGUGAAAUUAAUUGAUCAGAGUGGAACUUUUACUUUUAUAAGUCAA